rnacentral:pre_miRNA from 2 species
UUUAGAAUUCCUACGCUUUACCGUGGCAUACGAAAUUCGGCAAAGCGUUUGGAUUCUGAAAC